GCCGUUUUAGCUCAGCAGGUAGAGCACCACCAUGGUAAGGUGGGGGUCACCGGUUCAAAUCCGGUAAACGGCU
rfam:Lactobacillus harbinensis DSM 16991 NODE_251, whole genome shotgun sequence.